GCCAGAAUUCUCAACAAUGUAUUAAUUAGGCUGGCUAGACUUGAAUAACUCAGGGGAAAGACUGAAUUGACUCCCACUCCAUGCAAAACAGUGCUACAACUUGAUUCUCCCAAGGAUUUACAUCAGAUGAGAAUCUGGCCCAGAAAGGGACUAAGGCGGUUUUGAGCUUGCCAAAGGCAGACAUGAUCUUUACUUCUGAAAAAGCCGAGGGUGUGCCGGAAGAGGGACAGAUGAGCUGCCUAUUCACAGCAUCUGUUUGUGGACCCACCUUUGCUCACCACGCAGUUGGAAACAAAAUGUUUUCAAUUCCUCAACCAUUUUU
rnacentral:lncRNA from 1 species